AAGUUCAGAACGCGACAGUUUCAGAUUCAGAUUCAAUUUCAAGCGCGUCUCGAGCGGUUCUUUUUGCGGAUGGUGAGCGGGAAAGUGGAAAAGUCGGAAAAGCUGGUCUGAAAAGCCACAACGAAAACUCGUGAUUGCUGUGAGCAGUGUUCCAAAAGGGAGAAUCCCAAACAAAAUACUUAAUAGAAACAUAAAACAUCGGCGGCUAAUUAAAAGCGCAUCCAAGUGACUCAGUGAGGUUUCACCCGAAGCGACACGAAGGACCCAAGACGAGUGUUUAUUUAACACACAUCCUCGUUCCGAAAUCCUUCAGUUCGUGCCAGCCGCUCGCGAAGUGCGAUAGUGCCAAGUGUGUGAGGAAGGGAAAGCGGAAACGGAAAUCGGAAACGAAAACGGAAACAGAAACGAUUCUUUCGUUGAUCGGAAACGAAACCGGAAACAAAGACGAGCAUGUGUGUGUGAUGGAAAGAUCACUGACUGAUGUUGACAUUCCAACAAAUACCGCUCAAUUUUGCUCAAUCAGUGAACUGAUAACCUUUUAAACAUAAAUAUAUAAACAGUGACAAUAAGUGCUGUUAGAGCCCCCUAGAGGAACAAAAAACCGAAUAUAAACACUUCUAAUUGGAUUUUAGCCAGGCCAAAAGGCAGGCAGUAGGCAACAUGUGUGCCACGGGGAACCACCGGCUCCUCAACCACCUAGGCAGCCUCGGCCGCCUCAGUGUCCUCCUGCUCGUCGUGGGCGCGCAAUUAAUUCACGUGGAAUACGUCCGGGCGGAUUAUGAGAACACCUGGAAUUUAUACUACGAGCCGCCCUGCUGCACGGGCUCAUCUCUCGGCCAUCAUCUGCGCCACCACAAAGAGCAUGUCAAGGACUUCAGUUGUGGCCCCCUGCACUACAAAACCUUCUAUAUGGACGAGCCCAACAAUGCCCUAUAUGUGGGAGCAAUGGAUCGCAUAUUCAAGCUCAAUCUGCGCAACAUCAGUCAAUCGGUCUGUGAGCGCGAUGUUCUCAUAUUGGAGCCAACCGGCUCGGAUAUCCUCAACUGUGUGUCCAAGGGAAAGCGCGAGAAGGUGGAAUGCCGGAACCAUAUACGGGUCAUCCAGCCCAUGAACUUCAAUGGCCAGAAGCUGUAUGUCUGCGGCACAAAUGCCCACAACCCCAAGGACUUUGUAAUAAAUGCAAACUUAACACAUUUACCCAGAUCCCAGUACGUGCCCGGCAUCGGCCUGGGGAUUGGCAAGUGUCCCUACGAUCCCGCCGACAACUCAACCGCCGUCUAUGUGGAGAACGGAAAUCCCUUCGGUUUGCCCGCCCUGUACGCCGGCACGAAUGCAGAGUUCACCAAAGCUGAUUCGGUUAUAUUCCGCUCGGACCUGUACAAUCUGACUAAUGGCCGCAAGGAGGCCAACUUCAAGCGAACAGUGAAAUAUGAUUCGAAGCUACUGGACAAACCCAACUUUGUAGGCUCCUUUGAGAUUGGGGAGUUUGUUUACUUCUUUUUCCGCGAACAUGCCGUGGAGUACAUCAAUUGCGGCAAAGCGGUCUACUCUCGUGUGGCAAGAGUGUGCAAAAACGAUCGGGGUGGCAAGUACAUGAUCAGCCAGAAUUGGGCCACCUACCUGAAGGCCAGGAUGAACUGCAGCAUCUCCAGCGAGUUCCCCUUCUACUUCAAUGAGAUCCAAUCGGUGUACAAGAUGCCCACCGAUGACACCAAGUUCUAUGCCACCUUUACGACGAAUACGAACGGACUUAUUGGCUCGGCAGUUUGCAGCUACGAUAUUCGGGAUAUUAAUGCGGCCUUCGAUGGCAAAUUCAAGGAGCAGGCCACCUCAAACAGUGCCUGGCUGCCAGUGCUGAACUCCAAAGUGCCGGAGCCACGUCCGGGAACUUGCCACAACGACACCGCCACACUGCCCGACUCCGUGUUGAAUUUCAUUCGCAAACAUCCGCUAAUGGACAAGGCGGUCGAUCAUGAAUUUGGCAAUCCGGUCUUCUUCAAGCGGGACGUCAUCCUUACCAAGUUGGUGGUGGACAAGAUACGGAUCGACAAGCUGAACCAGGAGUUCCUUGUAUACUUUGUGGCCACGACGUCGGGCCACAUCUACAAGAUUGUGCAGUUCAUGCACUACGGUCAGCGGCACUCGAAUCUGGUUGACAUUUUCGAGGCAUCGCCACACAGCGAACCCAUCCGCGAGAUGACUCUGAGCCAGAAGACGGGAUCCAUCUACGUGGCCACCGAUCACCAGGUGAAGCAGAUCGACAUUGCCAUGUGUGCCAGGCGCUACGACAGCUGCUUCCGCUGCGUCUCGGAUCCCUAUUGCGGUUGGGAUCAGGAGGUCAACGCCUGUCGGCCCUACCAACUGGGCCUGCUCCAGGAUGUGGCCAAUGAGACGUCCGGCAUCUGCGAUACGAGUGUCCUGCGCAAAAGGGUCACCUCCUCAUAUGGCCAGACUCUGCACCUGUCAUGCUUCGUGAAGAUGCCAGAGGUCCUGAGGAAAAAGCAGACACGCUGGUAUCAUCACUCCACCGAAAAGGGACGCUAUGAGGUGCGCUACACGCCCACCAAAUACAUCGAAACAAAUGAGGGCGGACUGGUGUUGCUGGCGGUGAACGAGGGCGACGGCGGGCGCUACGACAGCUACUUGGAUGGGUCCUUGCUCUGCAGCUACGGCGUGACGGUGGAUGCCCACAGAUGCUCGCCACCGUCGCAGAAACAGGACUAUCAGAAAAUCUACUCGCAUUGGUGCAAUGAGUUCGAGAAGUACAAAUCGGCCAUGAAGCAAUGGCAGGCCAAACAGGAGCAAUGCGGCCUCAAGGAUAAAACAGGACCAACCGGCAGCAAUGGCAAGCACGUGAACGACGUUUUCAGCAACGAUGCCUUGGUCUGACCCAGAAAGUACUUGUACAGCUUUGAGUUUUUGUCGUCGUCGUCGUCGUCGGAGGGCGUGGCCAGCGCCCACCGCAAAUUGUACAUUUUCGUGUUCGUGCUUACCAUAUUUGGCCGCUUCUAAAGUUUCUAGUUAAAAUGUAAAUGCGCCGCCGAGAAGCAAAACUAAACAGAGUAAGCACCCAAGACAUCACAUUGUGGAUAACAUCUACGGAAAUGCGACAAGGGCCAAGCUAUGGAAUGGAAAAUAUAUAGAAAAAAAAGAAACAGAAAAAAGAAAAAACCACUACAAAGACUGAAAUUUUUAAGCUUUUAAAAAUCGACAAUAUUUCCAAUUAUUUCGAUGCGUUUUUUGGUCAUGCUUUUGUUUUCGUUUUGAGAUGUUGUCAGCGUCAAACUGAAUGAAUGAUUUUCGACAUUAACUAACUGAAUAUACAAAGUAAUCUAAUGGAGUAAACGAGAAAAGUUACUAACAAAAGGAUCCUGCCAUAAGUCAAAUGGAAAUUACGGUUUUACACUCAAAGAAAACAAAAUGAAACUCUCACACAUACUCAAGCAUAGAAGACACUAUUUCUAUUUCGAGCUAAGGUUAAUGAUAAUCUAAUACAGUUACAGAUACACUUACAGAUACAGAUACGAAAUACCGAUACAGAUACAGAUGGAACUGCAACCACCUAAGUGAGAAUCUGACCUAAGUAUUAACCAGCAAUUGUAGCUCACAGUUCAUUGAAGGCAACGAUUUUAUUUCAAUUUUAAUUUCGAUUUAUUUAGUUUCCGAGAACUCGUAGAUUGGCCACUUUGGGUUUAGGGUUGGGAUGGUCUUAAACGAAUUUGUAUAUUACUUAGCAAUAUUUGUUUAACUAAACUAGCAUAAGCUAUAUAAAUAUAUGGAUAUAUACAUGAAUAGCAGCCCUUGUUUAGGUCAUAGACGUGUACGUGUACGGAACCAACCUAUUACGAUAGCCAAACCCCGAUCAGAACAUACAAUAGAGUUACGUAUUAAACGACGCACACGAGGAACUUAAAUAUCGGCUAUGGACUCAACAUAGUCUAGGAUUAUUUGUAUAUAGUAGAGCAUUAGGGUAUAAGUUUUUAGGUUUUUACUCUGCUCCGAUUUUGAUUUGGAAUUCUCUAUUUGGCAUUAACUCGCUCUUGUAUAGAUUGUGCGUUGGCCUAAUGUUUACGAUAAGCAAUAUAUAGUUAUAUAUGGAUAUGCAUAAAUGUAAAACAAAUAUAUAUAUAAUUAUAGUUACUGCAUUGAGACCAACAUGCUCAUGAUUACACUUACCCGUACGUAGCGUAGGUAAGUCGGUGUGGCAAAUAAAUACAAUGUUUUUAGUCGUAUGCAGAAAAAUUCCAAUAUAGACACGACACAUCGUUGCAUUUAGUGAAUACCGAAUAUAUGAAAUAACCACGAAAAUCGGCGCUCAAAAUCCCAUUAAGCUGCCGGAAAGCUGAAGAAAAUCAUGGAAAAACUAAACGCUUCACAAAACUUCAAAAACAAAAAUAGGUAUUUGCCGUAGAACAAAAGAUUCAAAAAAUUUAUAUAACACUGAAAAUAAAAAUGUGAAAAUGUAUCAGAAUCUUCACCACAACUCUGCUGCAAACUCUGACACUUGAAAUAUUUUUCUAAAAGAUUUUCUCGGCAAAAUUUUUAAUGUUUCCAUCUUAGGACUUAUCCAACAAAAAAAAACCAUUUUAGCAUUGCUAAUUGUACAUGAAAUAAAUAAACCAAAACCACAAAUGAAGAAACUCUUAAAGAAAAAAAGGAAAAAUAAGUAAAAAAUAUUAAAAAGCUACUCCUGCUCUGAGCUUCUAACUUUAAUGAAUGUUUUUGCGUUGCCUUUAGUAGAGUUUUUUGUUUAUGAAAAUUAUUGUAAAUAAUUUAAAGAUUAUGUGAAAUGUUUUGUAUGACAAUCACAUGAUGUUGAGUAAAAAAUAAAUAAAACCAAAACAAAAGAGGACAACAAAAUGGAAUCUCGGACAAAAAACACACGGAAAAAAGUGAAUCAAAUUGCCAUUGCGGCAAUUAAAGAUGAGAAUUAAUAUUAAUUGAGUAUUUAACGAACAAUUCAUUGUAAAAAUAUUAACAAAAGUGCAUAAAUAUUCGCCGUAAAUAUAUAUAUAUAUAUAUACAUUAAUAGAUAAACGACUUUUACAAAGUAAUCAUACAAUAACAAACAAACAAAAUUUGCGCUUAAAUUAAAUCGAAUAAUCCCCAUUUAAGGUUCUAUUCGGACGAUUUUGAACGCAGAUUGGAUCAAGAGCUAUCUAAAUAUUUCUGAAAAAAUCAACAAAAUCAUUAAAAACAGAAAACGGAAAAAAAUUAAGAAAACAAAUUAGGUGUAAACACAUUAAAAGUAAAAUGCAGUAAAUAAAUGUGAUAAGAUUCUUUAAUAAGCAAA